rnacentral:rRNA from 2 species
AUCCAAAAGACUCUCGGCAACGGAUAUCUCGGCUCUUGCAUCGAUGAAGAACGCAGCA